rnacentral:rRNA from 1 species
GUUUCAGCAGCCGCGGUAAUACGUAGGGGGCGAGCGUUGUCCGGAAUCAUUGGGCGUAAAGAGCGUGUAGGCGGCUUGGCAAGUCUGACGUGAAAGCCCGCGGCUCAACCGCGGAUUGUCGUUGGAAACUGCCUCGCUAGAGUCCGGAAGAGGAGAGCGGAAUUCCUGGUGUAGCGGUGGAAUGCGCAGAUAUCAGGAAGAACACCCGUGGCGAAGGCGGCUCUCUGGGACGGUACUGACGCUGAGACGCGAAAGCGUGGGGAGCGAACAGGAUUAGAAACCCGGGUAGUCC